rnacentral:rRNA from 1 species
UACGAAGGGGGGCUAGCGUUGCUCGGAAUUACUGGGCGUAAAGGGCGCGUAGGCGGCGCAGUUAGUCAGGCGUGAAAUUCCUGGGCUCAACCUGGGGACUGCGCUUGAUACGGCUGUGCUAGAGGAUGGAAGAGGCUCGCGGAAUUCCCAGUGUAGAGGUGGAAAUUCGUAGAUAUUGGGAAGAACACCGGUGGCGAAGGCGGCGAGCUGGUCCAUUACUGACGCUGAGGCGCGACAGCGUGGGGGAGCAAACAGG